rnacentral:misc_RNA from 1 species
UCAUUCCGGAGGCCGCCGUCGCCGACAUCACGCAGGGCGGCAAGAAAGAAGACUUUGCCAAGGCCGGUUAUGCACUGCUGAAAGGCUGGUCCUAUCGCGACAUGUGGUGGAUCACCCACAACGAGCACAACGCCUACACGGCGCGUGGCAUCUAUGGCCAGAGCAUCUAUGUCGAUCCGACCGCGGAGGUGGUGAUCGCNCGCCUCGCACCCGAUGGCGGCCAACGCCGCCAACGAUCCGGUCUCGCUGCCGAUGUACAUGGC